rnacentral:sRNA from 1 species
GCACCAUCCUUUGCGCCGUCUUUAGCAGCAGACGCUGGUGGAGGUUGCAUCAUGUGCGGUGGAGGAGCGUGCUUCAGCUUCACUAAGAUCUGGCGCAUUCGUGAGAGGUCUGUCGGCUUGCCAGGCUUAGGGCCCUGAAUGACUGUGAUGGAUGGCUUCUUGUCCUUGUCCUUCUUUCCCCGCUUCUCAAUGGUAGCUAUUUCAUGUGGGAUGAGCUCCGAUAUCGACUUCCAGUACUGCUUGUCUGCUUCGGCAUGGAAUUUCUCCUGGCCAGCUACGAAAAUCUUCUCUCUUUCUCUGUUAUGGACCUUGUUUGUCUCACAGUUCUGUAUCCUCUUCUCAUAGAAAGCCUUCUUAAACUCUUCGGCUUCAGCAAGUAUCUGGGCCCGUAGCUCCUUCUC